UCAAUAUUAGAACUCCCGAAUCUUGAUGGCCGAUACCAACCAUUGAUCGUCCACAGGUUCUCACCAGAGAAAGGUUGUUGGUGGUGGAACGAUUCAAAUCUUGAUACCCUCUCCCUCGUAAGGUGCCUUCCCAAGUGAAGCGAUAGCCAUUCUGUAGCUGCAGAUCUCUCCCGGGGCUCCUUCGUGGCGGCGUCUUCCCUGAUCCGGGAGGCUCGGGGGUCUUUGCUCAACAUGAUCCGAGAUCGUUCAAUUGGUGAAGGAUUUGUUAUUUUCAACUUGUGUCAUCACUGACACUAAUGCAUCAUUUACAUGGAUCUGUUAAAAGGACAAUACAAUGCUAUGGAUAUAUAGGCUGGCAAAAGCUGCAAUUGAAGACACACCAUGACUUGCUUCAAUGGUCUUAUGAACCCCCACACACAGUGUCAGCACCUACAUUAAGCUUCUAUCUUCAAGAACUGGGCAUUUGGGCUGACACAAAAGUUACAGAUAUCCCAUAACACAUCUGUAAUCUCUACUUGUAACAAAAAAGAAUGUUCCUCUACAAGUCAUAAUGGUCCAAACUCCAUACCCACAUCUCAUGUUCUGGGAUAUGAUACCAGGAAUAAAACACUCUUGAUCAUACAGUGCCAAUAGUGUAUACCGCACCAAUGCUACGAUCUAUAAGCGUUUGCAGAGGAUAAUCAUUAUCGACGAAUUAUAUGAGCAUCCAAGCCCUCAUCAUAAGAAACAUCAUGGCAUUCUAAAGGGAGAUCCAGAUGACUCUCAUUUCUUCGCGAGCCUCCUUGCAGCUCCGACUAAUAGGGCCUUCCCGACAAGACCAGCCUGAAGACCACAGACCACAGCGACUCCACCAACAACGACCCAUUUCCAGUCAAGUCCGUGAAGCUGCGUACUGUUAACAAUGCCACUAGCUGCUUCAGAAGCCCUGGAUGUCUCUGCCUCAAGUGGAGUGAUGGAGCCAUCAAUCGGGAUCUUAGUGGUGAUCCGUGCCAUGAGCGCACAUCUGGAGAGAGAAGCCUCUGUUUUCCUCAUCAUUUGAUAUGCUCUCAUACCGGAUUGCAGUCUCUUAACCGCUCCCCACAUCCCAUGACGAACACCAACCUUGGCUACGUCCUUGGGAAUGCCCAUGUCCUCGUAGUGAACAAGAGUUACCUCACAUGAAGAUAGCUGCCCAUCUUGCUUGCGCGACUCCACUGCACUCAUGGAAAAGAAAAAAAACAAGAGAACUUUUUGGUGGCAUCCUCUACUAUUCCUGAUAAGUAUGCAUGGAAGUAGUGCUGCAGCGGACAUGCAAAAAUGCAGGUGCAGGUGGAUUAAUUUCUGAUACUAAUGCAUCACUGCCUGUCCUACAUGGUGUUUACAUGCUAUGUGAAAGGUAAAAAGCUCAACUACAUAGGUCUCGUGUGGCUCGGACAUGGCCACAAGUGAGCAUAGCACAUCAUCAACGACAAAUUGCCGCCGAAGAAAUCAAUGAAAUGCCUCUCCAGGGAAUGUGUGUGUAUAUGAAGCAUUAUUAGUAUAGAAAUAGUUAAACAAUUGUACAAAGAAAAUAACACAUGGCCAAUGGAAAAAAAAAAAGCAGAUUUAAACUUUAA